rnacentral:rRNA from 1 species
UACGGAGGGUGCGAGCGUUGUCCGGAAUCACUGGGCGUAAAGGGCGCGUAGGCGGCCCGGCAAGUCAACGGUGAAAGCUUGGGGCUCAACCCCGAGUCGGCCGUCGAUACUUCCGGGCUGGAGCACUGUAGAGGCAGGUGGAAUUCCGGGUGUAGCGGUGGAAUGCGCAGAUAUCAGGAGGAACACCGAUGGCGAAGGCAGCCCC